UGGGGAAUAUUGCACAAUGGGCGCAAGCCUGAUGCAGCCAUGCCGCGUGUGUGAAGAAGGCCUUCGGGUUGUAAAGCACUUUCAGCGGGGAGGAAGGCGAUAAGGUUAAUAACCUUGUCGAUUGACGUUACCCGCAGAAGAAGCACCGGCUAACUCCGUGCCAGCAGCCGCGGUAAUACGGAGGGUGCAAGCGUUAAUCGGAAUUACUGGGCGUAAAGCGCACGCAGGCGGUCUGUCAAGUCGGAUGUGAAAUCCCCGGGCUGAACCUGGGAACUGCAUUCGAAACUGGCAGGCUAGAGUCUUGUAGAGGGGGAUAGAAUUCCAGGUGUAGCGAUGAAAUGCGUAGAGAUCUGGAGGAAUACCGGUGGCGAAGGCGGCCCCCUGGACAAAGACUGACGCUCAGGUGCGAAAGCGUGGGGAGCAAACAGG
rnacentral:rRNA from 1 species